AUUGAACGCUGGCGGCAGGCCUAACACAUGCAAGUCGAACGAAGCCUUCGGGCUUAGUGGCGGACGGGUGAGUAACACGUGGGAACGUACCUUUUGGUUCGGAACAACUCAGGGAAACUUGAGCUAAUACCGGAUGAGCCCUUAGGGGGAAAGAUUUAUCGCCGAAAGAGCGGCCCGCGUUAGAUUAGCUAGUUGGUGAGGUAAAGGCUCACCAAGGCAACGAUCUAUAGCUGGUCUGAGAGGAUGAUCAGCCACACUGGGACUGAGACACGGCCCAGACUCCUACGGGAGGCAGCAGUGGGGAAUCUUGCGCAAUGGGCGAAAGCCUGACGCAGCCAUGCCGCGUGAAUGAUGAAGGUCUUAGGAUUGUAAAAUUCUUUUACCAGGGACGAUAAUGACGGUACCUGGAGAAAAAGCCCCGGCUAACUUCGUGCCAGCCGCCGCGGUAACAC
rnacentral:rRNA from 1 species